rnacentral:lncRNA from 1 species
GGGUGACAUUUACUUCCACAUGGUAUCAUAGCUUUUUUUGCAUUUGCAAAUCUUGGUUGUGCACGAUCUUUUUCAUUUACACCUUUUGUUUGCGAGUGAAAAGCUAGCCUUUUUGUAGCUGCGUACAGUGAUACCGAGGUCUUGGGCCAUUCCGAUAUGUCUACGGUGUUUUUAAGAAGCUCUAGAUCUCAAAUAUCGUAACAUGAUUGCAAUACACUAUAUUCACAAGAC